rnacentral:lncRNA from 1 species
AAGACUAUACUUUCAGGGAUCAUUUCUAUAGUGUGUUACUAGAGAAGUUUCUCUGAACGUGUAGAGCACCGAAAACCACGAGGAAGAGAGGUAGCGUUUUCUCCUGAGCGUGAAGCCGGCUUUCUGGCGUUGCUUGGCUGCAACUGCCGUCAGCCAUUGAUGAUCGUUCUUCUCUCCGUAUUGGGGAGUGAGAGGGAGAGAACGCGGUCUGAGUGGUUUUUCCUUCUUGAUGGCUCAAUGACAGAGACUAGCUCGUAAACUCCGGGGCGUUUCUGGGCUGUUCGCUCCUGCUUGGCAGUGUAGCGAGAAAGGUUUUCGCCUCCUGUUUCAGCGGUGACGGCUCUUGGGUUUUCUCGGGGUGGCUUUUUAAUUUUAGUCUUGGCGCGAGGCGGGGGAUGCUGUGUGGCACCUCCUAUUGUCUCUUUUUGCGUUUUCUCCCAUUCUCGCUCCCUCUUUUGUCGCCGUUUCCCGCCCGCCACUCCCACCCCCAGACGGGGUCUCCGGGUCUCUUGUUCUGUCUGCCGCCCCGGCUGGAGUGCAGUGGCGCGAUCUCGGCUCCUAGCAACAUCUGCCUCCCGGGCUCAAGCGAGUCUCCCGCCUAAGCCCUCCCGAGUAGCCGGGGCUUAAAGGCGCACACGCCACUCCAGGCUUUUUUUU